rnacentral:rRNA from 1 species
AUUGAACGCUGGCGGCAGGCCUAACACAUGCGAGUCGAACGGUAACAGGAAGAAGCUUGCUUAUUUGCUGACGAGUGGCGGACGGGUGAGUAAUGUCUGGGAAACUGCCUGAUGGAGGGGGCUAACUACUGGAAACGGUAGCUAAUACCGCACAACGUCGCAAGACCAAGGAGGGGGACUUUCGGGCCUCUUGCCUUCGCUCGUGCCCAAUGGGGUUUGGCUAGUGGGUGGGGUAACGGCUCACCUCGGCGACGAUCCCUACCUGGUCUGGGGGGGUGACGAGCCACACUGGAAGUGAGACACGGUCCAGACUCCGACGGGAGGCAGCAGUGGGGAAGAUUGCACGAUGGGCGCAAGCCUGAUGCAGCCGUGCCGCGUGUAUGAAGAAGGCCUGCGGGUUGUAAAGUACUUUCAGCGGGGAGGAAGGGAGUAAAGUUAAUACCUUUGCUCAUUGACGUUACCCGCAGAAGAAGCACCGGCUAACUCCGUG